UACGCUAUAAGAAAAAUCAACCGAGCCCUAAAAUAAAGUGCUGAGAAAAGAUUUCCUGUUUCGUCUCUGGCGGGCAAUUGGUAGAACCCUUUGAAAUCUGCGACACUCUCAUCUCCACUUCGGGUAUUGGGCGAAAAAAAAAAAGAUAAACACCUUUCUCAAGCGUUUUUUAAAAAAUAAAUUUUAUGUUUUCCACUAUUUUAUUGCUUAAUUACGUGUUUUUUGUGCGAUUAUUGUUUGGUUAGAAAAUUUGAAAUAAAACGUGAGAGUUUUUGUAAGAAAAAGCCCCAAGAAAGAAGCUUUUUUUUUUUUUUUGGUUAAGAGUAUCUUUGAUAUAGCUAAUCCCUUCGAUUUAUUAUGCCAAGGAAAACAUGAAAAUAUGAAUGGAUAUGUUUAAAUUGGUGAAUUACAUGGCUUAAAAUGUAAAUUGCUUUUUUUUUUUCUGAUGCCAUUGACGGAGAUUCAAUAUAAUACUUUUAUUUUUUUCCACGGAAUCGAAGCGUGAAAAAUAAUAAGUUUUUGAUAGAAUUUAUUCAAUUGGAAGAGUGAAAAGUCAAACAUUAUUGAUGGGAAGGCAUAAAGAGACAUGUUAUAGGAGGUUUUCCAAAGACUAAAUCUUUCUUGCUAGAAACAGCUGAUGUUGAUAAAAAUGAUUUUUAAAUAUGAUUGCCAUCUGUUUUGGUGCCAUCUUUAUAACAGAAUAGCAAAUUUCUUGGUUGAAAUUAGGGGCCACUGUGAAUUUUAAUAGAUCAGAGCAUUUUGAACCCUGAACUGUCAUUGUUUGAUCUCAAAUUUGAAAUCUGCCAAUUUGGUUCAGCUCUGCAGUCAAACUUUCCUUCAUUGGGAGGCGGGGGGGGGGGGGAUGCAAACUGAAAAGCUCAUGUUUUGAUUUCAUUUAUCAAUCAUUAGUAACUUACUAAUUUGCUGGUUUGAAUGGCCAAUCCGUUUUAUUAGCUGUAGGCUUGAUUUUAUAGUAAUCAGCAAGGAUUGCUUUUGUAUUAGUAUCCUGUCAACAAUUAAUCUUACUAUUCUUAAGUAACAGCUGAUAUGCCAUGUUCAUAUACCUAUUGCAUUUGACUAUGUAGAAAUUCUGAUAUUUUGGUCUAAUAUUCAUCCAUAUGACAUGAACAAGUUUAGUUAGUUAAUUGAAUUAUGUCUUUUACUGGAAUACCGGCAUUACAAUUGCCUUUGGAGCUUGUAUAACUGAAAAAGAUAUCAGCAUUCCUUUUUCUUGGAAGGGAAAAUGCUAAGCAGAAAAACUUAUACGAAGUUCUUUAUGUCUAGCUCCUUAAUUUUUAAAUAUAAACGAUUUAAAUUGCUUACUCAGUCAUAAGGCAACCUCAAAGUUGGAAAAGCAAGGAACUUAAUAUAAUGAAUUUUACUACUUAUUCUCAAUAGUUAACACAUAUAUGUGGAGUAUAUUUGUUGACUAGUCAGUAACUUUUUUUUUUUUUUUUGGUUUGGAGAUCCCAAUGGCCGGUAGAUGCUUUGAGCAUCAAUUAAUUGAGAGUUGGUCCGGAUUGGACGUCACAAGGAGAACAAGUUCUCUAGAGCUGUAAAUAAAUCGAACAUGAAUAAAUAGAUAAAAGUUUGUGACUUGUUUAUUUAUUUUUAGAGCUGUUCAAGCUCGAUUCGUGUGCUGUAGGAAAUUCAUUAAUUGUGUUCGAGCUUGGUUUAUUUAAAUAAUAAGAUAUUUGUGUUCAAUUCGUUUAAAUUAAAUGAGCUUAUUCGUAAACAUUAAAUGAAUAUGAAAAAAUGAAAAAAAUUUUGGUAAGAAAACGUAUUGAAUAAUCUCUGACAAAAAAUUAAAUGAGGUUAUUCAAAGUAUUUUUUUGGCUAAAAACACUUCGAAUAAUCUUUCAAAAAAAGGAAGAGAUUAUUUAAAGGCGUUUUUUGGUAAAAAAACGUAUUAAAUAACUUCAUUCAAUUUUUAGUAAGGGAUUAUUCAAUGUAUUUUUUGACCAAAAAUGUCUUGAAUAAUAAAAAAAAAGUAAUUAUUCAAGUCGUUUUUAGCCAAAAUGAGAUUAUCGAAGGUAUUUUUAGGCUUUUUUUGCCAAAAAAACAUCUUAAAUAAUACCUUACCAAACAUUGAAUACUCUUUUACAAAAAAUUGAAUGGGGUUAUCCAAGAGAUUUUUAGUCAAAAAAGUCUUGAAUAAUCUUCUCUAAUUUUUAUAAAGUUAUUAUUCAAAGCGUUUUGGCCAAAAAAUGCGUUAAAUAAUCUCUUACAAAAAAUUAAAUAGGGUUAUUCAAGGUAUUUUUUAACAAAAAUGCCUUAAAUAAUCUGUUUUAAUUUUUUUAAAGAUUAUUCAAGGUGUUUUUGGUCAAAAAAUAUCUUAAAUAAUAAUUUUUUGUAAAAGAUUAUUCAAUGUAUUUUUUGACAAAAAACACAUUGAAUAAUCUUUAAAAAAAAUGGGCAAUUAUAUAAGGUGUUUUUUGUUAAAAACAUUUUAAAUAAUACCUUUAUAAAAAUUAGAAGAGAUUAUUCAAAGUGUUUUUGGCAAAAAAUAAAUAUCUUGAAUAAUUUCUUCUCAUUUUUUUUUGAAUUAUUUAAGGAAUUUUUAGUCAGAAACACUUUCAAUAACUUAAAAAAAGACCUUGAAUAAUCUCUUCAUAAAAAUUGAAGAUGAUUAUUCAAGGUAUUUUUAGUCAAAAAUACUUUUAAAAACUCCAUUCAAUUUUUUGUAAAAAAUUAUUGAAUGAUUUUUUCAUGUCAAAUGCUAUAUAUAAACAAAAUUUUUUAUUAGCAAAAACUUACAACUGACUUGUAUUCAUUUUCAGACAUACUUUUUAAAAUGGUAACAACUAUUUCAUAAAUUUUUGGUCAGAUCCAAUUUAGAACGAACUUAAACAAGCUUGUUUGUGAACGUAAAUGAAUGAACAGACAAUUGUUCGUGUUUGAUUUGUUUAAUAAAUAAACAUAUAAAUGAUAUUUAAGAUCAUUUGUUAAGCUUAAUAAAUGAAUAUAAACGAACAAAACUUGAAUAUAUUUAUGAUCAAUUCAUCAAAAACUCUAUUUACUUACAUCCCUAAAGCACUCUCAAUGUUUGGUUUUUUCAUUUACAAGAUUCGUAACUAAAAUCUUACUUUAAAAAAAUUGAAUUCUUUAAUCAUUCGAUCAACAAGUGUUGCAUAAUUUGCGUAGUCUUUUAAGCUGUCUAGCUGGAAAUUUCGUUUCUAUGGUUUUUACUAGGCUGUCUAUAGGUAUUCCUUGCUGUUACUUUUAUCUUAUGGCUUGUCUUUGCAGUUGUUUUUCAUUUUUGCUUUACUUUUUAUUAACUGUAUAAUUUUCCAAGUUCCUAGUGUUUCUUACCCAUUUUUCCCCUUUCUCAUGCAGGUGGUGUUUGACCAUGAUGAUGAGAUUUAAAGUUCAGUAAUAUUUAUUUUCCUUGUGUUACUUGAAUUUGUAAAUCACUUUAUAUGCGUGUUCUCAAUUCACCAAAUAAUUUACUUUUAAUCCUUAUAUGUGUAAUUUACAUACAAUUUAAAUAAAUCUUUAAUCUUUUUGAAAUGGAUUUUGAAUGAAAAUGAUUUCAAC
rnacentral:lncRNA from 1 species